rnacentral:rRNA from 1 species
UAAGGAAUAUUGCUCAAUGGGAGAAAUCCUGAAGCAGCAACGCCGCGUGGAGGAUGAAGGGUCUAUGACUUGUAAACUCCUGUAAAGAAGGAAAAAAUUCCCAUUUGAUGGGAGAUGAUGGUACUUCUGGAGUAAGCCCCGGCUAACUACGUGCCAGCAGCCGCGGUAAUACGUAGGGGGCAAGCGUUGUCCGGAUUUAAUGGGUGUAAAGGGUGCUCAGGCGGAUUUGUAAGUCAGAGGUGAAAUCUUACAGCUUAACUGUGAAACUGCCUGUGAUACUGCAAGCCUAGAGUAUGGAAGAGAGUGAUGGAAUAUCUGGUGUAGCAGUGAAAUGCGUAGAUAUCAGAUAGAACACCAAUGGCGAAGGCAGUCACUUGGUCCAUUACUGACGCUAAAGCACGAAAGCGUGGGUAGCAAACA